UCCUGAGAACCAAGGCCAACAACAACUCUUGGAGAUACAUUCUCAUGGACAAAGUACAACCAGUGCUGAAUGGGGGGUGCUCCAGAGAAGGGGCUCGACCUGGGGUGGAAUUGCAUCACCACUUGUCCUCCUAACUGGUGCUUUUUAUCAAUUAUGCUAAUUUCCUAAAACCUAUAAAAAGGUACUCACCCCUGGGUGGGGGAGGGCUUUUAUGGACACCUAUCCUUAACUGCCUCUGAAGGUUUUCAAAAAAAGAUCCCCCUUUAUAUUACCUCCUUACUAAAAUUAUCUCGAGUUUCAUUUCCAGGUUGAAAAAAAGGCAAGAGUUAUUCUGGCACACCCAGAUGAGGACAGGAGAACUUGGUACCCUGCAAGGAAUUCUUUCCUCUCAGCAAUCUUGAGAAUUCCGUGCAGCGGCCUGAGGUUGAGACACCAUGGCUCCAAGAUCCCGCAGGAGAUAAUACCAAGAAAGGCCAAGGACUCCGUGCUACUACAUGGAAGAAUUCUAAAAUAGGGAAAAAGAGCGGAAAAAGAGCCAGCUCACCAAGACAAUCCUGCCUGAAGGUUUAAAGCACCGCCCUAUAUUCAGAAAUCAGCUGGCAAAGAAACUGGAGAACUGGGGAAGUCAGCAACUGCGAAUUGCUGUAUCCAACCAGCAGCCAAGAAUUGCUACAUCCAACAGUCGCAUGCAACCCACUACCGUACAGGAAGCCUAUUCCAGCAGACCAGACCUGAAGGAUGUGCCAGACUGGGAGCUGUAUGCAGACAAGAGCCGCUCCAUAUGAGAUGGAAAACAGGUGACAAGCUCUGCAGUGACAACCACGAACCAGGUAACCAGGAAAAAGGCCUUGGCAUAAAAUGUAUCAUCACAAAAGGCUGAACUGAUUACUUCAAUGAAAGAUCUAAAACUGAGCAAAGUCAUCCGGAAGGAAAGAAGACUGGCAACUAUUCAAGGUAACGGAAUUGAGCAUUCUGAACAGACCCAUGCACUCCUACAGAAUAUUUGGGAAUACAGAGAAUCAGUUUUUAUGCAUUACAAAGCUCAGCAAAAUGGGAAAACAACUCCCAAAUUAAAUAAUCAUUUUGCUGAUUAAAUAGUAAAAGGGACUGCAGAAAAAGGCAUCCUUAACAGAAGGAAAUUGAUUUGUCAAGGUUUGCCCCAAAGUGUGACUUAAAGGACCAUCAGUUUUCUGGCACAAAGGCUGAGAUCAAGGAAAGUGAACAGACUAUUACACCAAAAAGAACCCAAACAUGGGCAAAAGAGUUGUGUUAAAAAUAACAGAGAGAGGCAGGAGAUUUUCCUGGGGACUACUGGCAAAUAGAUUCUGCUGAGUUACCAAGCUAAGAAAGAAACAGGUAUGUAUUGGUGAUAGUUGACACCUUUAGUGGACAGCCUAAAGCCUAACCCUGUCACACUAACACAGCAAGGGAGGUGGUGAAAGUUUUUCUCAAUCAUAUAAUUUUAAAGGUUUGGGGCUCCUUCGGGGUUGGUCCCGCAGUGAUCAGGAAAAUUAGUCAGAUGUUGGGAAUUGUUUGGGAUCUGUAAAUUCCCUAUAUAUCCCAGACGAGUAAUAAAGCUGAAUGUGUGAAUGGAAACCUCAGAACAAGAUAAGUAAAGUUUGUCAGAAACAUCUGUGACAUGGGUUCAAGUCUUGCCUAUAGCCUAGCUGAGAAUCUGCAUGCAACCAAGGCAGAGACAACAUAAAUCCUUAUUAUGGGAAAGAUACCCUUUUAGAUCAUGAUGAGGAAAACUUUCAUCCCAUCAGCCUUUGCAGACUAGUGUUAAUAUUUCUUUGGUUUUGUUGUUUCAUUGUUUUAAGUUUAUGCCACCCUGUUACCAUAUAUGCACACCUACCAGAAUGUUCUUCCUUCCCUUGGACCCCACUGGGUUAUGUUUGCCACCCCACCCCUGUGAUCCCAUUAGUCUCCCCAGUUCCUAGUCACCCCUCUGCACAACAUUUCCCUAUCCCUACUGCACCUUGACCCUCAGAAAUACCCCUUCUAUCCAGUACAUAACCCUGGAUCCUUGGCCCACUUUUGGCUCUCAUCCCUGGCACACAUUUGAGGCUGUAUCCACGAUGUAUGCGCUGACAAUAAACAGCGAUUGGAUUUCCAAACGGGACACCAUCUCCUCGCCUUUAUCAUCAGGUUUUUAUUAGCAGAGUGCACCGGGCCCUGAAGCGCUCUCAGCGACAUGCAGCGGGAUGAUGGAACACCUUAUGAAAUAUUGCAUGGCAGGCCAUAUCAAAUUGUGUAUAUUAUGGGAGAAAUCCAUUUGAGGGGAAAAUAGACUUGCUGAGGUAUUUAAAAACUUUUAAGUUCCACUUUGCAGAAGCUCCAGAGAUUCGUCAUGUUAUCUGGACACACAUGCCCACCUGUUCCAGCCCGGAGAAUGAGUCUGUUAAAUCGAAAGACAGUAACCUUACAAGCUAAGUGGAAAGGGCCAUUUCAAGCCCUAACUACCCCCACUGAAACCAGAGGCGCUGACAAAGCACUCUGAAUUCACUGCUCCAGAGUUAAGAAGACCUCUGCUCCUCAAACAAACAGACAACAAUGACUGAUACAAAUCAAGAUGAUGUGAUUUAAAUUUUUCUUUUGGGUCUCUUAUCUGCACAGUUGGUAAUGAUGAUUCAGAUUUGGCCCUAAAAAUUUGCACGUAGCUCUAGUCCAAAAUGUAUCCAAAAACUCUUCAUAAGAACAACUUAUCAAAGGGGUGUUGGAUAUAAAAAUUUGGUCUGGUAAGUUUUGCCUCUAGAUAAAGAUCAGGCCUGUGUCCAUGGGGCUGUGAUUCCAAAUACGUAAUAUUCAAUCAUAUUAAGGCUAUUGACAAAACAGAAUUGCUCUUAAUUUCCUACUAACCACAAAAUCAGUAACACUGAUUGUUGUUCUUAUGCAGAUCAGAGUGAAAGAACAGCUAAGAAUGUGGUUGAAAUUUGAAAGCAAACUCAUUCUACACCAGGUAGCUCUCAAAGGAAUUCACUGAACCUUGGGUAUCUUCAAUACAUUCACAUCAUGGUUACCUAACGGAGCCUGGAUAAAACAACAUUCAUGGUAGCUGUAGUUAUAGUUGGCAUCCGUAUAGCAACUAGUAAGAUAGCUGGUUGUAUAAACUGGUAGUGUGGUUAAAGAUGGAGUAGAGACUAAACAAGGUGGAGUCUUGUUAGACUCUAAAAAAACAGGGGGAAUGAUGCCAUUUAGGUUUUGCCUUUUUUUCUCUUAUAUGUUCUCUGUAUUCUUCACACAUAUAUUUGUACCUCUGUAGCCUGUUGUAUUAGUGACUACUUUUCCUGGUACUUUUCCAUGGCCUUCCCUUAAGCAGAAACACAGAACAAAUUCCAGAGCUCCAAGCCCCAGGAGGUACAAGGCUCUUCCUGAGAACCAAGGCCAACAACAACUCUUGGAGAUACAUUCUCAUGGACAAAGUACAACCAGUGCUGAAUGGGGGGUGCUCCAGAGAAGGGGCUCGACCUGGGGUGGAAUUGCAUCACCACUUGUCCUCCUAACUGGUGCUUUUUAUCAAUUAUGCUAAUUUCCUAAAACCUAUAAAAAGGUACUCACCCCUGGGUGGGGGAGGGCUUUUAUGGACACCUAUCCUUAACUGCCUCUGAAGGUUUUCAAAAAAAGAUCCCCCUUUAUAUUACCUCCUUACUAAAAUUAUCUCGAGUUUCAUUUCCAGGUUGGCCAAAAGGCAAAUUUAUAGGCAAUUAUCUCUUGUCCUUAAUAAAAAGGCAAAGAGCUGAAGAUCAGUAGCAUUUUGCCUGUGCAUAUGCACACACUGAACUACCAGAUUUUUGUACUUCUGAUUAUUUUAAAUAGAAGUAAUAGGAACAUCUUACAGUUUAUAUAUGCUUAUCAUAAUAAUGCAUAGCUUAAUAACAAAUAUGUUGCAGUUCAACAGGAAUUAAUCACUGUCAUCAAUUUAUUUUU